UUAUGUGUGUUAUACUUCUAAUUGUAGUUUUUGUACGGUAAUAUUGGCAAGUUUGUUUCAGACAACAUCUUUCCUAUUUCACCAUUCAAGUAAUUACAAAAUUAAUUUUUAUCCUAGGAGGAUGUUUAACAUGGAACAAGGUACAGUAAAAUGGUUCAACUCAGAAAAAGGCUACGGAUUUAUCACUGCUGAAAACGGAAAUGACGUAUUUGUACAUUUCUCAGCUAUCCAAGGCGACGGCUUCAAAACUUUAGAAGAAGGUCAAGCAGUGACUUUCGACGUUGAAGAAGGCCAACGUGGACCUCAAGCUACAAACGUUAACAAAGCUUAAUUAAUAGUAGACUUUUAUGCCAGAUGCGAAAGCAUCUGGCUUUUUU
rnacentral:sRNA from 1 species